GCCGCACAAAUCCCUAUUGAGGCAACUAUUCUGUAGUUGACCCCAGUAAGACCUCAACAACGUGUCUAAGUGCGAGAUUAACCCAAAGACUUGGCGUCGCAUUUGCCAUAAACCAUAAUACCCGGAAUGGCGAAUUGAAACUUCGAGUUACAA
rnacentral:snoRNA from 1 species